UACGGAGGGUGCAAGCGUUGUCCGGAUUUAUUGGGCUUAAAGGGUGCGUAGGCGGCUAAUUAAGUCAGCGGUGAAAUUCCACAGCUCAACUGUGGAACUGCCAUUGAUACUGGUUGGCUUGAGUACAGAUGAGGUAGGCGGAAUUGACAGUGUAGCGGUGAAAUGCUUAGAUAUUGUCAAGAACACCUAUUGCGAAGGCAGCUUACUAAGCUGUAACUGACGCUGAGGCACGAAAGCGUGGGGAUCAAACAGG
rnacentral:rRNA from 1 species